rnacentral:lncRNA from 1 species
CAGUGAGAUGGCUAUGCCCCUGGGCUGCUGCGUCCCAGGUUUCCUCAGUCUCUAACCCUUUGUUCUCACAGGGGAUGGACUCUUCCUUCUUUUCCCAACUCCACCAAGAGGGACCGUCCCAGGACGUCCUUCCCUGGGCAUCCGGCCCUACAGCUGCCUGAGGUCUCCAUCACCGUUGGCGCCAUCAGUCUGCUGUGCAGCCAGCUGUUGGUUUGGAGAGCCUGAAGAACUGCAGUUCACGUCUCAUCUAAAGGAGCUGAAAUGAUAUUGCAGCUUUCUCUUUUGGUUGCGUGCGGUGAGAAUCUGGGAGCUGAACCUGUUAUCUGCAUGGUCUUCAGAAAUCAGGCAAACUCGGAAAAUGCCAACGCCAAAAAUGCUGAUGGGUGACAAAGUGUCACAGGUGUGAUGCAUUACAAAUCUCAGGACUUUUGUUCACUGGAUUUGAAAGGUCAAGCUUCACAGGAAAAUGAUGAAGUCCCAAAAGACCAGAAAUAUAUUUCAGAAGAUGCCAGUUACUGCUUUAAAAUGUCAAACCAACAUUUCAGAAAUAACUUUCAAUGAUUAUUUCCUGCCAAGAAGGUGAACGCUGGAGACCUUAAUGGUGGAAGAUGGAGGGCGUCUUUCCUUCUGUUAAGCUGACAACUUGGCUUCCAUCUUGUGAGGACCUCACCCUACCUGGUGGCAGAGGACGUCUGACGCCCUCAAUCAUUGCCAUUACACUUCCCAGCCUGGUGGUCAGUCUCCUGGGGUCUGUGUGUUAACAAACCAUCGACUGGACAAUCGCAGUUUUCCUUAUGAAGGCUUACUUUAAAAAGGCUCUGGAUUUUCAGAAGUGAAGUCGCUUUCAUCCCCGAUUCAGACCCAUCCUCGUGGAGGAAAAAUCCUACCAGAAGAAGGGCUGACCAUAGGAACUUGCCAUUUCCUUGACCCCAUCAUAUCUGAGGAAAAAACAACAGAAAAGCCGUUGCCCGAGCCACGUGUUGAGGAUGACGGCAUCGCGUUCUUUCUGCCCAGGACCUCAGAGUGGGCGUCCGGUCUCCUGUGUGGGAUGAGAAUACACGCCCUCCUUUCAAUCGCUGCAGACCUCAGAGUGGACGUCCGGUCUCCUGUGCGGGAUGAGAAUACACACCUUCCCUU